rnacentral:rRNA from 1 species
CGGGGGGAGCAAGCGUUGUUCGGAUUUACUGGGCGUAAAGGGCGGGUAGGCGGCCACUGCAAGUCGGUUGUGAAAUCUCCGGGCUUAACUCGGAAAGGUCAAUCGAUACUGCAGGGCUAGAGUGCAGAAGGGGCAACUGGAAUUCUCGGUGUAGCGGUGAAAUGCGUAGAUAUCGAGAGGAACACCUGCGGCGAAGGCGGGUUGCUGGGCUGACACUGACGCUGAACUGCGAAAGCUAGGGGAGCGAACGGGAUUAGAUACCCCGGUAGUCCUAGCCUUAAACGAUGAAUGCUUGGUGUCUGGGGUUUUAUAGUCCACGGGUGCCGUCGCUAACGCUUUAAGCAUUCCGCCUGGGGAGUACGGUCGCAAGACUG